GACGAACGCUGGCGGCGUGCUUAACACAUGCAAGUCGAGCGGUAAGGCCCUUUCGGGGGUACGACGAGCGGCGAACGGGUGAGUAACACGUGGGUGACCUGCCCUCAGCUCUGGGAUAAGCCUGGGAAACCGGGUCUAAUACUGGAUAUGACUCCAUGACGCAUGUCGUGGGGUGGAAAGCCUUGUGCGGCUGAGGAUGGGCCCGCGGCCUAUCAGCUUGUUGGUGGGGUGANGGCCUACCAAGGCGACGACGGGUAGCCGGCCUGAGAGGGCGACCGGCCACACUGGGACUGAGACACGGCCCAGACUCCUACGGGAGGCAGCAGUGGGGAAUCUUGCGCAAUGGGCGAAAGCCUGACGCAGCGACGCCGCGUGGGGAUGAAGGUCUUCGGAUUGUAACCCCGUUUCGGGAGGGAAGAUGGAACGAGCAAUCGUUCGGACGGUACCUCCAGAAGC
rnacentral:rRNA from 1 species